rnacentral:rRNA from 1 species
UACGUAGGGGGCAAGCGUUGUCCGGAAUCAUUGGGCGUAAAGAGCGUGUAGGCGGUUCGGUAAGUCGGCUGUGAAAGUCCAGGGCUCAACCCUGGGAUGCCGGUCGAUACUGCCGGACUAGAGUUCGGAAGAGGCGAGUGGAAUUCCCGGUGUAGCGGUGAAAUGCGCAGAUAUCGGGAGGAACACCUAUGGGCGAAGGCAGCUCGCUGGGACGUUACUGACGCUGGAGACGCGAAAGCGUGGGGAGCAAACAGG